AUUGAACGCUGGCGGCAGGCCUAACACAUGCAAGUCGAGCGGUAGAGAGAAGCUUGCUUCUCUUGAGAGCGGCGGACGGGUGAGUAAUGCCUAGGAAUCUGCCUAGUGGUGGGGGAUAACGUUCGGAAACGGACGCUAAUACCGCAUACGACCUACGGGAGAAAGCGGGGGAUCUUCGGACCUAGCGCCAUUAGUUGAGCCUAGGUCGGAUUAGCUAGUUGGCGAGGUAAUGGCUCACCAAGGCGACGAUCCGUAACUGGUCUGAGAGGAUGAUCAGUCACACUGGAACUGGGACACGGUCCAGACUCCUACGGGAGGCAGCAGUGGGGAAUAUUGGACAAUGGGCGAAAGCCUGAUCCAGCCAUGCCGCGUGUGUGAAGAAGGUCUUCGGAUUGUAAAGCACUUUAAGUUGGGAGGAAGGGUAGUAACCUAAUACGUUGCUACUUUGACGUUACCGACAGAAUAAGCACCGGCUAACUUCGUGCCAGCCGCCGCCGUAA
rnacentral:rRNA from 1 species